GUCUUAUAUACAUAGCACCUUUAUCUUCCAUAUCAAAUGGGUGAUCAGCUCAAAAUCAGUCAGUGAUUUUUUUUCUGGUUGGAGAAUGGAUUAGAGUCCCAGACUGCAUGGACCUACACCAUAGCAACAAAGAUACUCUAAUAUUGGGAAGGAAGAGCAACCCAAAGAAACUCAAUUCAAUGUUAAAACAUCCAGAUUUUAUUUUAUGUAUCUCAAAUCCCAAUGACUGCCUGCCUAAAGUCUGUUCAGAUUUCAGGCUUGUCCUCUUUCUUUUUACUUCCUUUCUCAAGACCCUAAUCUCUGAUCCUGAUGCUAAUGACACAUGAUUCAACUUUUAAAAAUCUGAUCCCAGGAUUUUAAUUUGAAAAGCAGAACUGGACAGAGACGAGGUCCUUAUUGGAAAAUUGUCAAUGUAAGUUUGUUCACAUUGCUUCUGGAAAAAAUUAAGAACUGAGCCUGCACACUUCAUUAUGUGAACCAACCAUGGCCUCUUCAGGUGAAGAACUUCUUACCAUGUUUCAUAAUGGGUUAUGAGUGCAGCAAAAAUAAACAAUUCUCUGAAAUUUGGUGCACAAAACAAGGUCCACUGGAUCUCCUGGGUUUUCUGGGUUACAAGAAGCCCUGAGUGCCAUCAACGACAUAACGCACAAUUACUGAAUAUAAGUGUUGGGAAUUCAUAGAAAAAAUAUAUAUCCAGAAAUCUACAGUUUGUCCAUAUGUAUAUUGAAAGAGGAGAUAACUGCAUAUAGAUAUAAAACAAUGUUUGACAAUUUAAAAAUCAUCAUUGCAAACUUAUUUUUCCUCCAUUUUAGGAAUAAAUUUAAUACCAUUUACUGUAGUAAUACUGGAAAAUUGAUCCUGUUUUUAUUUAGUGCCAGAAACAUGCUUCUUCUUUGCUUAGAAUCUGUUUCCUGCAAAGUGUUUCUCUGUCAGGAGUCACAUACAUUCACAUUUUCUUAGCUUUCUUGUGGUUCUGAACAUUCUCUGGGCUCUUCCAGACUGCUGUGCCAAAGUGCUACUCACUAGUUCUAAAACAGUUCUAAAUUGUGUUAUCUCAGUACUGAUCCCUAUUCUACAACAGUAACAUGAUACGUAAAAAUGCCUGUGCAUAUCUUCCUAUUGUGGAUCAUAUUAUGUGUUGGUCUUCCAGAAGAGCACCAAACUUGUGUUUAUAAAAAAAAUGACAUCUAUCACAAUAAACACUAUGGAAUAUUUUGGAUUCUAGGAUUUUCUGCAG